AGAACCAGAACAAGACAAACGUCUCUGUGGACUACUACACAGUUUUGGACAGGACGUUUUAUUUCCUCGCAACUCCUACUACCGAAAGUACAAGCGAACCUACUACGACCAAGGCACCACCGGAAACUAUACAGUCGGACGAUGUUGAUGUGAAGUCUCCUGCUCGCGUGUCCUAAUGGUCCGUGGUAAAGUAGGUUCGAUCUAACACUGGGGAAAUUGAGUACUACGGAUAGGGCAGUUCAGGUUGUAGUCAACUUACAAACUUUGUAACAGGCUGAGUGGAUCUGUGGUGUAUGCUGGAAACAUAGGCGAUUAUAGAAAAGACGUUUAGAGACCAACUCGAUAAGAGAAAGAAAAGCAUUGAAAUAACUACUUUUACGUGGCACAGGUGUAUUUAGAGGCCACACAAGAAUAGAGAUAUACCGUAUGGACAAAAAGAUAGAUGUUCCGACAUAUACACGAAAGGG
rnacentral:rRNA from 1 species